GGGCACGUGGUGUAAUGGUACAUAUCCGGGCUCUCAUUAACAGGCACCAGGGAGUAGCUGGUUCGAUUCCAGCGGUGUCCA